CAUGCAGUCGUACGAACAGUAACCGACAAUCGGUCUGGCGGCGAGUGGCGAACGGGUGAGUAAUGUAUCGGAACGUGCCCAGUAGCGGGGGAUAACUACGCGAAAGCGUAGCUAAUACCGCAUACGCCCUUUGGGGGAAAGCGGGGGACCUUCGGGCCUCGCACUAUUGGAGCGGCCGAUAUCGGAUUAGCUAGUUGGUGGGGUAAAGGCCUACCAAGGCGACGAUCCGUAGCUGGUUUGAGAGGACGACCAGCCACACUGGGACUGAGACACGGCCCAGACUCCUACGGGAGGCAGCAGUGGGGAAUUUUGGACAAUGGGGGCAACCCUGAUCCAGCCAUCCCGCGUGUGCGAUGAAGGCCUUCGGGUUGUAAAGCACUUUUGGCAGGAAAGAAACGGCCCUGGUUAAUACCUGGGGCAACUGACGGUACCUGCAGAAUAAGCACCGGCUAACUACGUGCCAGCAGCCGCGGUAAUACGUAGGGUGCAAGCGUUAAUCGGAAUUACUGGGCGUAAGCGUGCGCAGGCGGUUCGGAAGAAAGAUGUGAAAUCCCAGGCUUAACC
rnacentral:rRNA from 1 species